rnacentral:rRNA from 1 species
GCUACGGGUGGCAGCAGUGAGGAAUCUUCCACAAUGGCCGUAAGGCUGAACCAGCCAAGUAGCGUGAGGGAAGACUGCCCUAUGGGUUGUAAACCUCUUUUAUGCGGGGAUAAAGUUGUCCACGUGUGGAUGUUUGAUGGUACCGCAUGAAUAAGGACCGGCUAAUUCCGUGCCAGCAGCCGCGGUAAUACGGAAGGUCCGUGCGUUCUCCGGAUUUAUUGGGGUUAAAGGGAAAGUAGGUCGGUCUUUAAGCUGGCCGUGAAAUGUUGUGGUUCAACCAUGAGAGUGCGGCACGAACUGGAGACCUUGAGUGCGCGGAAGGCAGGCGGAAGUCGUGGUGUAGCGGUGAAAUGCUUAGAUAUCACGAAGAACCCCGAUUGCGAAGGCGGCCUGCCGCAGCGUUACUGACGCUGAAGCUCGAAAGCGCGGGUAGCGAACAGGAUUAGAUACCCGUGUAGUC